CGAGACACCACCUGCACCCCUCGUUGGACGAGACGUUCCACCCCCGCUUAAGCCGCCACGGAUCCUCCUCGGCUUAUCCCUUCCCUCAGGCCUUCACCCUCCUCAUCCGGCGGCUCCAGGAGGGGCACCACAGCAGCAGGCCAGUCACGCCAUCCAAACGCGCCCGAACCCAACUAGCCUCCAUCGGCCGCGGCGGCCAGGCCGCGCCUCUCCUUCCACCGGUCACGAGAUCCGCCGAUAUCAACUCCGUCCUCCAGCGCUGGGUGCCCAGGAUCAACAUGCCUCCUCCUGAUCAGAAGUCACAAAAAAAGAGAUCACGGUGAUGGUGGUGGCAAUGGGUGCCUACUUCCUCCGAUGAUGUCCCCAUCACCUGGGUUUCAAUAUCAGCUCCAUCCUCUACAAGUAGAAGGGGAGAUGAGAGGAUGAGCACCAGAGGGUCACAGGAUUGGAUGACAGAGUCAAACUGGGAGAAAGCAGAGGCUUGAAAUCUAUUCUUCCUCGAGGAACAGCACCCCUUGCAGGACCUGGACCUUGAGGGGCUCCGCUCACGGCAACCUAUCAGUUUGCCGGCUGCAGCCCGGUUGAACCAGCGUCCAGGGCAUGCUACCGUCAAGAUAGCCUCUGCGCUGCUUUCGUACACCCACUCUAGCCAUGUCUUCCCCUAGACCUGUGAGGAGGAGUAAGCAGGAGGACAAGGAGCAGCACGCCCCUAUCAUCUACUUUUCACUUUACAAAAUUGAAAGUAGAAUACCGUGCAAAGUCAGAUCUACCUUUUGAUGUUUCUGGUUUCCAUCAUUUUAGUGUUGCUUUUAUAGUGUGAAGUUACCAAUCCUUCUCCAUAUAUGUAGUUGUGGAGUUCUACAACCGGAAAUA